rnacentral:rRNA from 1 species
UAGGGAAUCUUCCGCAAUGGGCGAAAGCCUGACGGAGCAACGCCGCGUGAGUGAUGAAGGUCUUCGGAUCGUAAAACUCUGUUAUUAGGGAAGAACAAAUGUGUAAGUAACUAUGCACGUCUUGACGGUACCUAAUCAGAAAGCCACGGCUAACUACGUGCCAGCAGCCGCGGUAAUACGUAGGUGGCAAGCGUUAUCCGGAAUUAUUGGGCGUAAAGCGCGCGUAGGCGGUUUUUUAAGUCUGAUGUGAAAGCCCACGGCUCAACCGUGGAGGGUCAUUGGAAACUGGAAAACUUGAGAGCAGAAGAGGAAAGUGGAAUUCAAUGUGUAGCGGUGAGAUGCGCAGAGAUAUGGAGGAACACCAGUGGCGAAGGCGACUGUCUGGUCUGUAACUGACGCUGAUGUGCGAAAGCGUGGGGAUCAAACAGG